AAGGUUGCUGUAGGUGAACCUGCAGCAGGAUCAUU
rnacentral:rRNA from 1 species